rnacentral:rRNA from 1 species
UACGUAGGGUGCGAGCGUUGUCCGGAAUUAUUGGGCGUAAAGAGCUUGUAGGCGGUUUGUCGCGUCUGCUGUGAAAAUCCGGGGCUCAACCCCGGACUUGCAGUGGGUACGGGCAGACUAGAGUGUGGUAGGGGAGACUGGAAUUUACGGUGUAGCGGUGAAAUGCGUAGAUAUCAAGAGGAACACCUGAGGUGAAGACGGGUUGCUGGGCUGACACUGACGCUGAGGCGCGAAAGCCAGGGGAGCAAACGGG